ACUACAAGUCGGGUUAUCGCUUUGCUGCAAUAUGCAAAGAGGAAAGUCCGGACAGUAUAGGGCAGCGCACCACCUAACGGGUGGGGUUCCGUUAACCACGGAAUACAGAAAGUGCCACAGAAAAUGACCGCCAUCCUUCGGGGAGGUAAGGGUGAAAAUGUAGGGUAAAAGCCUACGCUAUGUAUUGGUAACAAUAAAUAGGGGUAAACCUUGCGUACUGAAAUGCCAAAUAGGCGUGCGUUUGAGGGCGGCUCGCCCGAUGUACGUGGGUUGGCAGCGAAGAGUUGCCGCGCGAGCGGUAUCCAAGAUAAAUGAUGACCGGUUUGGUGAAUGCCAGGCUUACAGAAUCCGGCUUAUAGAUUUGUAGUUGUU
rnacentral:RNase_P_RNA from 1 species